rfam:Suillus luteus TH-Slu-Lm8-n1 unplaced genomic scaffold CY34scaffold_4, whole genome shotgun sequence.
GGUCCAAUAGUGUAGCGGUUAUCACCCAAGAUUCUGAAACACGAUUUCUUGUGACCCAGGUUCGAUUCCUGGUUGGACCU